GCGGAGGGAUCAUUACAGAGUUAUCCAACUCCCAACCCUUUGUGAACCUUACCGCAGUUGCCUCGGCGCGAGCCGCGGCUACCCUGCAGCUACCCUGUAGCUGCCGCGUAGCACGCACAUGGCCCGCCGGUGGACAGCUAAACUCUUGUAUGUACACAAGUAUGUCUGAUUGCUUAAAUAAAAUAAGUCAAAACUUUCAACAACGGAUCUCUUGGUUCUGGCAUCGAUGAAGAACGCAGCGAAAUGCGAUAAGUAAUGUGAAUUGCAGAAUUCAGUGAAUCAUCGAAUCUUUGAACGCACAUUGCGCCCAUUAGUAUUCUAGUGGGCAUGCCUAUUCGAGCGUCAUUUCAACCCUUAAGCCUCUGUCGCUUAGCGUUGGGAGCCUACGUCUACAGCGUAUCUCCUCAAAGUCAGUGGCGGUGCUGGAGCACACUCUCAGCGUAGUAGUUUUCUUCUCGCUUCUGUAGUGGCCCCUGCAGCCUGCCGUAAAACCUCCAACACUUAGUGGUUGACCUCGGAUUAGGUAGGAAUACCCGCUGAACUUAAGCAUAUCAAUAAGCGGAGGAAAAGAAACCAACAGGGAUUGCCCUAGUAACGGCGAGUGAAGCGGCAACAGCUCAAAUUUGAAAUCUGGCCCUCGCGGUCCGAGUUGUAAU
rnacentral:rRNA from 1 species